rnacentral:rRNA from 1 species
AAAAGGUGGCUAUGCUACCGCUUUUGGAUGGGCCCGCGGCGCAUUAGCUAGUUGGUGGGGUAAAGGCUUACCAAGGCAAUGAUGCGUAGCCGAACUGAGAGGUUGAUCGGCCACAUUGGGACUGAGACACGGCCCAAACUCCUACGGGAGGCAGCAGUAGGGAAUCUUCCACAAUGGGCGAAAGCCUGAUGGAGCAACGCCGCGUGGGUGAAGAAGGUCUUCGGAUCGUAAAACCCUGUUGUUAGAGAAGAAAGUGCGUGAGAGUAACUGUUCACGUUUCGACGGUAUCUAACCAGAAAGCCACGGCUAACUACGUGCCAGCAGCCGCGGUAAUACGUAGGUGGCAAGCGUUAUCCGGAUUUAUUGGGCGUAAAGGGAACGCAGGCGGUCUUUUAAGUCUGAUGUGAAACCCUUCGGCUUAACCGGAGUAGUGCAUUGGAAACUGGGAGACUUGAGUGCAGAAGAGGAGAGUGGAACUCCAUGUGUAGCGGUGAAAUGCGUAGAUAUAUGGAAGAACACCAGUGGCGAAAGCGGCUCUCUGGUCUGUAACUGACGCUGAGGUUCGAAAGCGUGGGUAGCAAACAGGAUUAGAUACCCUGGUAGUCCACGCCGUAAACGAUGAAUGCUAAGUGUUGGAGGGUU